CUUUAGUAUCACAUAACAAUGCUGAUCAGCCACCACAAUAAGGCCACUGCCAGAUUAUCGAGAUAAAGUAACCCUGCUACUGCUACUGAACAUAUCAACCCUCAACUAUAAGCAAAGUUUGUCUUACAUGGCAGCCAAAUGAAGCUGGAAGGAUGUACUUUACAGCUGGAAGGAUAUACUGUACGUCCAGAUAAAGCAAACAAUAAUCUUUUCGUUAUAUGUUUCGGUGGGUAAGAACUUCAGUGCUUCUGGGAAAACAGUGUUUCGCAGCCAAAUUGACAUUCACUGGAGUGUGCCACCCUCCUGUCAUUUUGUCAACACCAUCGCUGUGUGGAGCUCAGCCAAGCAAGACAUCUGACAGACAGUCAAACGGGAGUGGUGGACUUCAGCCACAUAACACCCUCUCUCUGCCCUCUCUGUGACCAGUGGUGAGGUUCAAUGGUCAUACAUGCAUACACACACAAACGAAGAAAGGACACAUUUUGUAACAAAGACUGGUUCUUUGGCCCUCAAUUGAUACAUUCUGCAACACAGAUAUCUUGGCAUUUUUUCAGAACUAUAAAGUCAGACAGGCACAGAUUGAUCAAAGGGAUGCAAUCAGCAAGAGAGGGAACCGCAUGAGUGACUUUACAUCAGUAGCCAAAAAGUAGUCCUGACAAAGGAAAUUG